rnacentral:rRNA from 1 species
UGAAUACGAGACGCUAAGGCGUCGAAGUAGUGUAUGUCAUACUUCCAAGAAAAGCUUGCACUGUCAUAGAUAAAAAACGCCUGUACCAUAACCGACACAGGUGGGUAGGUAGAGUAUACUAAGGGGCGCGAGAUAACUCUCUCUAAGGAACUCGGCAAAAUAACUCCGUAACUUCGGGAGAAGGAGUGCCUUAUUCGUAAGGUUGCAAUAACAAGAUCCAAGCAACUGUUUAUCAAAAACACAGGUCUCCGCUAAGUCGUAAGACGAUGUAUGGGGGCUGACGCCUGCCCAGUGCCAGAAGGUUAAAGAAGUUGGUUAGCAAUUGCGAAGCUGAUAACUGAAGCCCUGGUGAACGGCGGCCGUAACAAUAACGGUCCUAAGGUAGCGAAAUUCCUUGUCGGGUAAGUUCCGACCCGCACGAAAGGCGUAAUGAUUUGGAUACUGUCUCGGAGAGGGGCUCGGUGAAAUAGACUUGUCUGUGAAGAUGCGGACUACCUGCACCAGGACAGAAAGACCCUAUGAAGCUUUACUGUAACUUGAAAUUGAAAUUCGACUUUAUUCGCGCAGUAUAGGUGGGAGGCGUUGAUUAUAAUCUUGUGGGAUUAUUGGAGCCAUCAGUGAGAUACCACUCUUGUAAUGUUAGAUUUCUAACUUUGAAUCAUUAUCUGGUCAAAGAACAGUUUCAGGCGGGCAGUUUGACUGGGGCGGUCGCCUCCUAAACGGUAACGGAGGCGUACAAAGGUUUCCUCUGAACGGUUAGAAAUCGUAUCUAGAGUGUAAAGGCAUAAGGAAGCUUGACUGUGAGACCUACAAGUCGAGCAGGGACGAAAGUCGGUCUUAGUGAUCUGACGGUACUGAGUGGAAAGGCCGUCACUCAACGGAUAAAAGUUACUCUAAGGAUAACAGGCUGAUCUCCCCCAAGAGUUCACAUCGACGGGGAGGUUUGGCACCUCGAUGUCGGCUCAUCGCAUCCUGGGGCGGUAGUACGUCCCAAGGGUUGGGCUGUUCGCCCAUGAAAGCGGUACGCGAGCUGGGUUCAGAACGUCGUGAGACAGUUCGGUCCAUAUCCGGUGUAGGCGUUAGAAUAUUGAGAGGAGCCUUCUUUAGUACGAGAGGACCGAAAAGGACAUACCUCUGGUGUACCAGUUAUCGUGCCAACGGUAAACGCUGGGUAGCUAUGUAUGGAGUGGAUAACCGCUGAAAGCAUCUAAGUGGGAAGCCCACCUCAAGAUAAGUAUUCUCAU